CGCGUGUGGAUAGUUUUGACAGCGUCUGAAAGCAUCAAGCGUAGAUCGUGCUUUAAUUGUCCGUUAUCGUAAAAAUAUCGUAUUAGGCACACCUUUUAAUAUUUCUUCCGAGUUUAUUUCUGAAAGUCUGGGUCACCAAAAGCUACAUUUCCACCGCUGCUGGCCAGGAAACAUGACAAAGUUCAUUAAACAGGUCCUUCUUCAGAUGCAUAGGAAAGGCAGGCUUGUAGUGAAAUAGAAUUAUUCAGUGUAAUGCUCUGUAAUGUAAUGUGCAGUGUUUAUGUUUAGGAGCCGUAAAAAUGACUAGUGUAACUUUACAUUACAAUAAGUAAAUUGUUUUUUUAAGAAAAGACUGCAGGGACAGCAUACCUGUGAACUCCUUAAAAUUAACGUUCUUUACCUUACUGAGUAUUUAAAAUACACAAAUGAGUGUAAACUGCAUUAUUUACAUUACUUUGUAUAGGCUAUACAUGAUUAGACUCCCCCCCAGUCUUCUGUUACACCUGUUUACACGUGUCUCAUCCUCACUUCUGAUUGGCCAGCUCAUUCUCUUCCCCAGCUCUUAUUGGCCAGCUGUUCUGAGGAGGCGGGGUUAGGUGAAAGUAUCUGACAUGCCUUAAAGAAAAGCUCCAUCUAUAUUCAGUCAAAACACAAGAAAUAGAAGAGAGUGCAGAGUUUAGAUUAAAUAAGAGAAAUCGGGAUUCAAACAGAGAAAACAGAUGGAAGGCCUCGGAGGAAUCAGGGGGCUGGUGCUUUUGCUUGGAAUAGUCUCACAGGCAUCAGGCAGCACAAUAACCGUGAGUGUUUUCACGGUGACAUCAAAGAGCGCGGUGUUGCGCUGGAGCAAAUAUGAAGGCGCAUUGUCCUACAAAGUAACAGCUUCUCUCCGAAACUCUCAAGUCCCUGUGGUCUUUGCCAGCUUUGGACAGAACACCAUUAUGGGCUCGGUGAAUUCCCUGAAUCCCAACACUGCGUACACCUUUCGGGUCGAGGCCCUGGGCAGCCAGAUGGACAUGCUGACAGAUGCUACAGUGGAUGGAUCUACUGCUCCUGAUGUGCCCACCAUUGUGAUGGCCUCCUCUAAAGAAAGCCAGAGGAUCACUGUGGAAUUCUCUUUGGUCUCCGGGGCCACUUCCUACAUCCUGCGCGCCGAGACAAAUGACGGAUCUUUCUUCUCAGAGAUCUCAGUACCCGGCUCUCCGGGGACUGUCACCAACCUCCAGCCAUACACAGACUACACUCUCAGUGUCAUGUCCGUCAACAGCGCAGGCAGAAGCCAGCCUUCCAUCUCCGUGGAGGCUAAGACAGUUCUUCCCGCUCCUCAGCUCAACACCAGCUCUCCCAGCAACAGCAGCAUCCUGGUGAAGUGGGAGCCCGUGAAUCACGCUGUCCUCUACAGCCUCAGCAUCAUCAAAGACGGCUCGUACAGCAAAACUAGUCUCAAUAUCACAGACACUCAGGUCAACUUUCCGAACCUGGAAGCAGGAACCAAAUACUGCAUUAAAGGAAAUGCCUGGAGUCCUGAGAACAUUCCCGGAGAUGACUUCACAGUUUGCCAGAUCACACGUUCUCCCACUCCUCAGUCCAUCGCUCUGGUGGUGACAAGCACCCCUGAUGCAGGUAUUGUGGUGUCGUGGGACCCAGCUCAGGGUGCAGAGCAGUAUGUCGCCUCGAGCUUGAACGGACAUAACUGCUCCUCAUCUACUAACUCCUGCGUCCUGAUUCCUCUGAGCUGUGGAGAGACGAACUCUGUCACAGUGACGGCUGUCAAUCAAGCUGGAAGCAGCGUCCCCUCAUACCCCGUUCAGAUCAUUUCAUUCCCUUGUCCCCCGCAGCCAGUCUGGGUGGAGGAACUGGUGCCCGGCAACUGUUCUGUGAAGUGGAGUGCCGUCCCUUACGCAGAGUACUACACCACCUUUAUUAAAAGUGACGAUGGCAUUGAGGGGAUGUGCAACUCAACCGAACUGUACUGUCAGUUUCACUGCUACUGCGGUUACUCGUACAUCAUGAGUGUGUUUGCACACAACCAUGCUGGACCAAGCCCCCCGGGACCUCGCCUCAACCACACCACCUUGCCCUGCUGUCCGGAUCUCGUGACGGUAUCUGCAGCUUCUUGGGAGACUCUGGUAAUGGACUGGACUCCUGUGCGUGGUGCGGAUCUGUACGAGACCCGAGCUGUGGAUGCAAAUGAAGUGGUUCUGUGUAAUGACACGGCGCCCAGCUGUGCCCUCUCUGACCUCGCUUGCAACAGCAAAUACAGUGUAGUCAUCAUACCAUGCAACGACGUUAGCGGCUGCAACCUCACCUGCAGUCCACAAACACAUGAGACGGCUCCAUGCAUGCCGGAGAUCACCAGUGUGAGCCAGACUAACAUGAAUAGUUCCAGUGUGCUGGUUAGCUGGACGUCUGAUAACACAGUUGCUAAUUACACCGCCAGUUUGAUUGGCUUAGUAGGCGACACGCACGUCUGUAGCUCGAACGGCUCCUCCUGUCUGGUGUCCAACCUGCCCUGUGGCUCCAUCUACGAAGUCAGUGCCAUCGCAUCAACCUCAGCUGGAGAGAGCAUGCCCAGUUACAUCGUCCCACUGGAAACAGCACCUUGUUGUCCAGACAGUCUCACGGUGAGCCAGGUGACCCAGGCCAUGACUAACGUGACCUGGUCGCCUGCUACGAACGCCCAGACGUACAUCGCUUCGCUGUCUUCACCUCGCGGACAUGCUCAGUGCCACACUAUGGAUACAGAAUGCGUGAUGGGAUGCAUCACCUGCGGCACUAACUACACCGUCUCGCUGGAGGCCAUCAGUCGCACCGGACACAAGGCGGAGUGCAUCUUCCAGGGAUUCUCUGCCAGUCAGUGCUGUCCCUCGGGCAUCCGUCUCUAUAGAGGAACCAAUAACACGCUGAUUGUGCGCUGGAGGUCCAGCAGCGCCCUCACUAGAUACACAGCAGAAGUCACCGGGAGCGUCAGGACUCACACGUGCAGCCCAGAGCCCGGCUCCUACACAUGCACCGUGUCAGACAUCGUGUGCGGUCAGGUCUACACUGUGGUCGUGGCCCCACUGAACCCAGACGGAAGCAAGGUCCAGUUCUGUAACAGCAGGCUCUAUUCAGGUGACGAAGCUCGGAGCAGAAAUGUUUCAGUCGUUUCAUUGCAUCAGACCCAGCGGAAUCUCUCAAGAACAGGAAGAAUACUUUUUUUUCCAUUAUUUUGAUGAAUGCCACUUCCUUUGCUGUUUUAUCAUGUGACCCCGGGCCAUAAAAUCACAUGUGUGGGCAGCACUGUUGGACUGGUGCUCUAUCAAGGAAAAAGAUAAUGAUGGGAUGGAUGUCCUUCAAACGGUGAGCUUCUGGUCCUAUUGGACGACUGGAUCCUUCAAAACAUGUCCCUAAACCAGGAAAUAAAACGAACGCUUUGCAACUAAAAGAAGUUUAUUGUAUGCAGUGGCUUUUGCAGUGAAGUCAUUUGAAUACAAUUAACUGAAUAAUGUAAUUAGUCAGGAUUCAACACUGUCCAAUCACUUGUGUUUAUAUAUUUAAAUUGCUUUAAAGAUGUAAUGUAAUUUAUGUCGAUCAUGUAAUAUGAUUUAAUUAGAAGUGACACUGAUUAUUGGAGGAAUUUGCAGUUUUCUUACAACGUGGCAAACAUAUAAUCCAUUCAACAAAUUCAUAUUCGUGUUAUCCUAAUUUAAUUUUCAGGGAUCCCUAAUGUUAUCUCAGGGAUUUUCACUAAAGUCAAUUCAUGAUCUUAUUGCGUCACAUUAUUUAAUGAACUCUAUUACCAAUAACACUAUUUCUAUUCAAUUCUCCCCUUGAUAAAUAGUAACUAAAAUAGUCACUUUUUUGGUGAAGUAAGUCGUACUAAGAAAGAACGUUUUGUUCUCAUCAACACCCAAACAUCUCAAUUAAAAAAAAAAAAAAAAAGUAAUUUGACAGUGGUUACAUCUAUGCAUCCGUUUCCAUGAAUUAUUUAAACAAACAUAAAAUGAAACUAACGGUAACUGAGUUUGAACUCCUCUACGGUAUGUGGUGCCUCUGAGGGAAAACUAAUUGUUAAUUGAACUUCCCUUAGAUGUUUGUCAAAUGCAUGAUUUGUUGGGAUGUGAAUCUGUAGUUUGACAGUAAAAUUAAUU